AUUGAACGCUGGCGGCAGGCUUAACACAUGCAAGUCGAGCGGGGAAGAGUAGCUUGCUACUGGACCUAGCGGCGGACGGGUGAGUAAUGCUUAGGAAUCUGCCUAUUAGUGGGGGACAACAUCUCGAAAGGGAUGCUAAUACCGCAUACGUCCUACGGGAGAAAGCAGGGGACCUUCGGGCCUUGCGCUAAUAGAUGAGCCUAAGUCGGAUUAGCUAGUUGGUGGGGUAAAGGCCUACCAAGGCGACGAUCUGUAGCGGGUCCGAGAGGAUGAUCCGCCACACUGGGACUGAGACACGGCCCAGAGUCCUACGGGAGGCAGCAGUGGGGAAUAUUGGACAAUGGGGGGAACCCUGAUCCAGCCAUGCCGCGUGUGUGAAGAAGGCCUUUUGGUUGUAAAGCACUUUAAGCGAGGAGGAGGCUACCGAGAUUAAUACUCUUGGAUAGUGGACGUUACUCGCAGAAUAAGCACCGGCUAACUACGUGCCAGCCGCCGCCGUAAAAC
rnacentral:rRNA from 1 species